AAGCUCGCAUCCGGCGGCCUGGAAAGUUUUAUGCAUAUCUGAUUGGUGGGCUGACUCUCAAUUUUGCACCCACCUAAAUCAAAUUCAAUUGUUAUUAAUUCAUCCAGGGGCAUGGGUGGCUCGUGCACUCAGGCACUUAUUUCACAGAUCUUCAAUCCUUGUACAGAUCAUGAUUGAAAAUAAAUUUUUAAAUUUUAAUACCUUUACUUUUUUUUCAAUCGAAAUUUAAUAUAAAAAGUUUCACACAUUACGUUUGUUUGCUAAUUUUCACGCCCCCUCCCCACGACGCUGCUGAUCAAAUGAUAAGCGUAUUUUGAUGAUAUUCACGUGCCGCUGAAUAAUUUGGGCAUUAAAAAUGGACAACAAAAAACCGCUAUACGAAUGAAAAGCACUUCUCACUAAUUAAUGAUAUUAUGUAGACGGACAACUGGAUGAAAAAGAAGACAUUUUACAUAGUGUCGGAAAUGUAUAGAUGUUUUCGGACAAUUGUUGUAUAUUUUUACACAUUCAAUGGGCAGUUUUGAAUAUUAAAUCGACAUUUAAUUUUUAAUAAUAAGUUUGAAGUCUAAACUGGAAUACUACGCUGAGGUAGUUGCCUGGAUUCUUGAUUAUGAAAUGAGAAAGUUGCAAAAUCAAAUAAAGGAAAAUAAAAACCAUCACUGACACUGAAUUGACUCCAAAAUUUUGGCUAUCUCACAUGUCUCGGCGAUGGAUGUCCAUUGCCAUUGCCAUUCGCAUGGCCAGAGCUGCCGGCAGCGUUGCUCGCUCCAGCGGACGCAUCGGCGCCCGGCUCAUGCGCUGCGGCGGCAAUUGUUGUUAUGGGGGCUCCAUCGUUCAGUCUACUAGUGUGAUGCACCCAAUCCGUGAGCGUCACAUCGGAUGUGCCGCCCGACUCGAGCGGUAUGG